AUUGAACGCUGGCGGCAGGCUUAACACAUGCAAGUCGAGCGGAGAGAGGUAGCUUGCUACUGAUCUUAGCGGCGGACGGGUGAGUAAUGCUUAGGAAUCUGCCUAUUAGUGGGGGACAACAUUUCGAAAGGAAUGCUAAUACCGCAUACGUCCUACGGGAGAAAGCAGGGGAUCUUCGGACCUUGCGCUAAUAGAUGAGCCUAAGUCGGAUUAGCUAGUUGGUGGGGUAAAGGCCUACCAAGGCGACGAUCUGUAGCGGGUCUGAGAGGAUGAUCAGCCACACUGGGACUGAGACACGGGCCAGACUCCGACGGGAGGCAGCAGUGGGGAAUAUUGGACAAUGGGCGGAAGCCUGAUCCAGCCAUGCCGCGUGUGUGAAGAAGGCCUUAUGGUUGUAAAGCACUUUAAGCGAGGAGGAGGCUACUUUAGUUAAUACCUAGAGAUAGUGGACGUUACUCGCAGAAUAAGCACCGGCUAACUCUGUGCCAGCCGCCGCAGUAA
rnacentral:rRNA from 1 species